CUGUCCAUUCGGCUGCCCCCAUUUUUGUUUGGGGUCGCCUCAGCAGAUACAGCCAGAUCCGCUCUGGUAUUUGGCACAAGUUUUACGCCGGAUGCCCUUCCUGAUGCAACUCCAGCUUCAGAGGAGGACUGAU